AUACAUUCGAGCGGCUCGGUCAACUUUAACUUGAGCUUUAACCGAUAACCUAACGUAGCGUUCUCAUUCGGUAUGUUUUGUCUCUGCUUGAUAUGUCGCGAUAAUAUAUAAUAUCUGUUUCUAGCCUUAUCUUCCCCGUUCCGAGAUAACGACCGAUAACUAAACAGGUCAUUCCAGCGGAACUUGAUGGUGUUCUCGAUGAUCUGCAGCCCGAGGUAUCGGACCAUAUUCGGCCGGUGACUGGCAGACAGAUAGACCCCGCACUGCAGCGCCAUCGGCGACUCUUUCAGGCGUUCGCACAACUCGUAGGUGCGCUGUCGCUCGCCAGGUGGCAGUGUCGGCGACAUGAGCGCCUCCACGGCGGCGGCGGCCUCCGCAGACAUCGCCUCCACCUCCGGCAUGAAAUUCAUCUGCAAUCGGAGAACCAAUGGUCAAGGCAGAUGCAGAGCUUGGAGUCUUUAACCAGCAUGCCCAUGAGUGAGUAAUUGAGAGGAUAAGUGCAUCAGAAGAAAUUGAAACGGAGGGAAAAGGCGGUGCGAUCCUGAACUCCACUCCAGCUCCAGCCUCACUGCCGACCGACCACGCGUGCCACCCGAGCGGCCAGCCGCGGCGCGGUUCAAACACGUGUGCCCCCGGUGGCCGACGUCGUCGGCGGCGCUGCAGCGCCGUACGAGAAUCAAAUAAUGGGAUAUAAACGCGCCGGCGCCGG